GUAGGCGAGUUAAGGACUGGGGACAUUUGUGGUGAGAUUCGUGUACUUUGUUACAAGCCACAGCUCUUCCAAGUGUGCACUAAAAUAUUGAAUCAGCUGCUGCGUUUAAAUUGUACUGCAUUCCUAAACAUUGUCCAGGUGAAUGUUGGUGAUGGGACCACAAUCAUGAACAAUCUCCUAUAGCACUUAAAAGAGAUGAAUGACCCCAGUAAUGCAAGGAGUUCUGACGGAGACAGAAGAUGCUGGCUCAUGGUAAACUGGACCUCCCGCUAUCUGUGUUUUGCAACCCUUAGAGGAGUUGAUCUUUUGUUGCAUCCAUCAUUAAGAGAAGCAUAUAGCGGCAGCUAAAGGAAGCGAAAAUUGUGUCCACAUCCCUGUUACAAAUGAAGUAAUAAAAACAGUAAGCUGUUUAGUUUGCAAUCAAGAUGAUAAUUCCGACAAUCUAAUGCCGAUUAGGGGAAAUCAAUUGCCAAUUUUUUUGUAGUCGUUAUCUAUUCAUGCUGGAUUGAUGGCUCUUUCUUUCUGCAUCGUGUCAUCUGCUCGUGGAUCCGAAGCACAUGAUAUGGAUUCAUCGGUAUCUUCUGAUGCAGUUCCUUGGACAAUGAUAAAACCUUGUUAUUGGAUACUCUGAGACUUGUCAUUGAGAGACUUGUUGAUGAUAAAGACUUGUCACUGGUUGUCUAAAGGAUGGUGAUCCUCGUCUAUCUAGCUUUGGCCUGGUGAAAAAUAGUCGAGAUGGAAAAAGCUGUAGUACAAAUCUCAUUUAUACUCCACCAGAGUUCAUGGCCUACAUGUUCUUUUUCCCCUUUUUAUUGCCAUGAAUCAGUUCUUAGAGUGUGAGAUUCUGAUUUAUUAAUUAUUUCCUGAUGCAACUUCUGUUUAUUUUACUUAUCUUUUAUUUCUUACAGGUUUUAUGCAAAUGGAAGACACAUUCUAUCUGCUGGUCAGGAUCGUGCCUUCCGUCUUUUCUCUGUUAUUCAGGUGAAAAGAAAUGUCAUUUGCUACGGGGUCUUUGUAGUAAUACUAUGUACUGAUGUGCUGUGAAAUGGCAGCUGAUUAUCACUCGGAAACACCUCAUUUAAUAAGUAUCCAGAUUUGGAGGAGUGCAAGAGAUUUACUCGUGUGAAUUCUUCAAGUAAUUAAAGCUGCUGCUGGGGAACUUGAAUCGAAUCAAGAGUGUAAUGCUACCCACUGGUCUCCAAAGGAAUUCGAACAUAAGUUAAGGGUUAACGCGUAAGCAGAGGAGUUGAACUCGCCGUGCAUUGAGAUCAGAUGUUAACUUACAAGUAGGAGUUUCUUAUAUUGGGUAUUCUCUUUUGAAGCAAAACUAUGUUAAGAGUCUUGAUUGAAAUCUAGAGUAAAUGUGGCACGAGUGAUAAAAUAGUGUUGUUUCCUUCCCUUUCUUUUGUAAAAUAUCUUGACUGGUUAAACAUGUAUCAUUGAACAUAUGAAUCUCAAUAUAAGUGGUGCAGAAAUUGUUUGGUUGAUU